rnacentral:lncRNA from 1 species
AAACUUAAAAUAAACUUGACUUUAAGCAUUACCAAAUAAAGCCUUAAUACAUCAAUUGAAAUGGAUAGACAUUCUAUGUAGUAUUUACACCAGAAAUGCUACUGUUACCGAAAGUUUUACCGAAUUUGUUAUCGAUAGCACCAAAACGACGACGUUUUGGUGCAAAAAAAUCAAAACGAUGUCGUUCAACUAAAUAGAUUCUUACCGGGAAGAACUAUUUUAGUACCUAAAAUAUCGUCGUUUUGGUGCUAUCGAUAAUAAAUUUGAUAAAACUUUCGGUGAACGUAGCAUUGCUGGUAUUUACACUCCCCACUCAUCAGAAAUCUCAGGCGAAUGGAUAGACAUUCU